rnacentral:pre_miRNA from 1 species
GUCCACGAAUCUGGGGCGGGAAGUGUUGUGAUUCUGGUUGAUAACUUGCUGAAUCAUGUAUCACACAACAUUGCUCGUACACGCCAGCCGAGGGC